CCCAGGUCAUGCUAACGUGCAAGCAGGUUUGGGGCCGCAGAGUCGCGCCUCCUACUCCUGGCGGGAGCCCCCGCAGCCGGGUGGGAGGGCGCAGCACGUGCCAAGCGUCCUGUGGCUGCAGCUGCCGCCGAGCGCAGGACCUGGCGCGGGAGCCGCCCACCUGGGCCCUCCAGGCGGCGGGGAUGGGGGAGCGGACUCGGGAGGAGGCCCCGGGGCAGCCUGCAAGCCCUGCGCGGCCCAGGACCCCUCGCCCCGCCUGCAGCCGGGCGCAGAGCAGGGGCCGCAUCUCAGGCGGGACGACCUGUCCCCCCACGAAGGAGGCCGCGCGGCACCCUCGCUGCUUGGGGCCCGAAUGUAGAUACACGGAAAGAACAUACGCCUGGAAGGCGGCAGGACAUCUGUCAUGUUUGACUCCUAACGGCAAUCCAUAAAUGUGAAAGGCUGUGCCGUCAAGCAUUUUCAUUUCUCUGUGGGCCUUGUCGCUAAUGAGAACUUUGGUUGAGCUGAAAGGGAUUGGAAAUCUGAGGAAAGUAUGGGACCAAAGCCGCAAUAAAUGUAAAGCGAUAACUGCUUAAUUUGAAGCG
rnacentral:lncRNA from 1 species